GCACGUAGAUUAGCUGGUGCUUAUUCUAUCAGGUACCGUCAUUAGCUCUCAGUAUUAGUCAAAAGCCGUUUCUUCCCUGACAAAAGUGGUUUACAACCCGAAGGCCUUCUUCCCACACGCGGCAUGGCUGGAUCAGGCUUGCGCCCAUUGUCCAAAAUUCCCCA
rnacentral:rRNA from 1 species